UGUUUGGUCGGUGAAAACAGG
rnacentral:misc_RNA from 1 species